GAUGAACGCUGGCGGCGUGCUUAACACAUGCAAGUCGAACGGUGAAGGCGGAGCUUGCUCUGCUGGAUCAGUGGCGAACGGGUGAGUAACACGUGAGCAAUCUGCCCCUGACACUGGGAUAAGCGCUGGAAACGGCGUCUAAUACUGGAUACGAGCUGCGAAGGCAUCUUCAGCAGCUGGAAAGAACUUCGGUCAGGGAUGAGCUCGCGGCCUAUCAGCUUGUUGGUGAGGUAACGGCUCACCAAGGCGUCGACGGGUAGCCGGCCUGAGAGGGUGACCGGCCACACUGGGACUGAGACACGGCCCAGACUCCUACGGGAGGCAGCAGUGGGGAAUAUUGCACAAUGGGCGAAAGCCUGAUGCAGCAACGCCGCGUGAGGGACGACGGCCUUCGGGUUGUAAACCUCUUUUAGCAAGGAAGAAGCGAAAGUGACGGUACCUGCAGAAAAAGCGCCGGCUAACUACGUG
rnacentral:rRNA from 1 species